rnacentral:rRNA from 1 species
CGUUAAAUGGAUAACUGUAAUAACUCUAGAGCUAAUACAUGCCACGAAGCCCUGACCCCGCCCGUCGGGGAAUGGGUGCACUUAUUAGAACAGAAGCCAACCAGUUCAUGCAUUUCGCACGGAGUGUAUGAGCUGCAGCACUUCUGGUGACUCUGGAUAAUUGUUACAGAUCGCAGUCGGCUCUAUGUCGGCGACGGGUCCUUCAAAUGUCUGCCCUAUCAACUUUCGAUGGUAGGUGACCUGCCUACCAUGGUGAUAACGGGUAACGGGGAAUCAGGGUUCGAUUCCGGAGAGGGAGCCUGAGAAACGGCUACCACUUCCAAGGGAGGCAGCAGGCGCGCAAAUUACCCACUCUCAGAACGAGGAGGUGGUGACGAAAAAUACCGAUGCGGGACUCAUUAACGAGGCUCCGUAAUCGGAAUGAGUGGAUUUUAAAUCCUUUCACGAGGAUCAAUUGGAGGGCAAGUCUGGUGCCAGCAGCCGCGGUAACUCCAGCUCCAAUAGCGUAUAUUAAAGUUGCUGCAGUUAAAAAGCUCGUAGUUGGAUCUCGGUAGCAUUGUUGCCUGCUUACUUACCAUGUACUGCAGUGUGCAUCGUAUCGUGUGUGCUUGUAUUAUCCAUGUUCACAUGAGCUGGGUGUAUGGGUGUCACGGUUGGUGUACAUUCAAACUGUGGUGCAUUGGGAUGGCAUGGCGAUGGUGUCACCUUUGAGCCAUGUCUGUGGUGUUACAGCCACAGGUGUAAUCGAGUGUCGGGCAGUGCUCUGCACUAGUUGUGAGCCUA